CCUGACCUCGGAUCAGACGUGAU
rnacentral:ncRNA from 2 species